rnacentral:rRNA from 1 species
AUUGAACGCUGGCGGCAGGCCUAACACAUGCAAGUCGAGCGAGCGGCGGACGGGUGUGUAAUGUAUGGGGACUGCCCGAUAGAGGGGGAUAACUCCUGGAAACGGUAGCUAAUACCGCAUACUAUCGGAUAACCCAUAUGGGAUUAGAUAGUAGGUGAGGCAAUGGCUCACCUAGGCGACGAUCCCUAGCUGGUCUGAGAGGAUGAUCAGCCAGACUGGGGCUGUGGCACGUCCCAGACUCCUACGGAGUCAGCGGGGGGGAAUAUUGCACGAUGGGCGCAAGCCUGAUGCAGCCAUGCCGCGGGUGUGGAGCAGGCCCUAGGGUUGUAAAGGACUUUCAGUCGGGAGGCGUUACCGACAGGAGAAGGACCGGCUAACUCCGUGCCAGCAGCCGCGGUAAUUC